AAUCUUGUAUUCAAUUAAUGAUUUUAAAUUGCAAAUUUAAAGGUGUUUAAAACCAAGAUUU
rnacentral:tRNA from 1 species